GGGGGCGUAACGGUUUCGACGCUGAUAGUUGGGGGCCGGUAAGCGAGCCGCAGGACUCCGGAACUGCGUAAAAAUCCGGUAAACUAAAAAUAAACGCAAACAACGAAAAGUUAGCAUUCGCAGCUUAAAGCUGUGACGUUCUGCCCGGAACUCCCGCCGGCCGGGACAGGGCGUCGUAAGGCGGGGAACUGGCAUUGGCAAAGCUUUGAGCCUAUGCCCGAACUAUGAAGCUACCAAGGGCGGUAUCCGGCAGACAGGGAGACCGCAGGAGGGAAUGUUAAAACGUCUGAUGCGCUCGGAGAAGGCUGGUUCACAUCAUUGGCGGACGCGGGUUCAACUCCCGCCGCCUCCACCA
rnacentral:tmRNA from 1 species